CAAAGGCCUCCUCCCCCCCUCAAAGUGAAAACGGCUCUAGGAGAGUUUUUUGGGAGAGAGGGUUUUUUUCUCUCCACUUAUUCGGAACACCGCCUUUCCUCAACUUUAAUUCUAUGAAUAUUAUUUUUAUCUAAUUUCUGUAUCAUCUGAGCGGGUUGGUCAGUCAGGGGGUCUUACUGGGAGAGGGAAAUGGAGCUAGCUAAUCUUGCUAAUCUAACUGAUUGAAACCAUGAAAAGAGAGUGGAAUAUCAGCUGACACCUCCAACCACAAUGACAAGGAUCACAUUAGUGCAUUGCCUGAUGAUGUUCUUCAUACAAUUGUUAACUUGCUGAGUAUGAGAGAUGCGAUACGCACUAGCAAGUUAUCACGAAGUUGGAAGAACAUUUAUGCACACAAGUCAAGACUGGAAUUUGAUUGGCCUAACAUAAUUUCGAAUUACGCAAACACAUAUACACAUGGAAUGGUUUCCAUUAGGAAUGUGAGAUUUUUCCAAAGAAGCAUAGAAGCAGUCUUAGCUUCACAUUCGGGAACCAAGAUUGAAUCCUUCAAGGUUCAAUGCUGCAUUGGAAACGAGCAUCCUCGUUACUUCAAAGGCUGGAUCAACUUUUCUGUAACCCUUGAGCUUGCCUUCAGUUGUGACGAAUUAUCGGAGCGUAACUGAUUGGACAACAAUUGACUGUUAUAACUUUCCUACACAUCUGCUUCUGAUCAAAACUGAGGCAUCUCUCCUUGCGUACAUGCAAACUGAGGGCAGAUAAUAUUUUUGUUGAUCGAUUUAGCACACUCACGAACCUUGUUUUGUGUGAUGUUAAGUUUGUUGGAGAAGCAGAGCCUCGUCUGUUUUCUUCUUGCUCGAAGCUCGAGUCCUUGACACUGGAAAGGUGCUUCGGUUUUGAAAGCUUGCGCGCUUCGACCCACAUGAUUGUGUGAAGACGCUCGUGGUGAGGAGGUGUGAAGAGUUAAAAUGGAUUGGCCUAAUUAGGGGCCUACUAAAAGAUGUGUGUAGGUGUUGAUCAGACGUGUGUGACGUGUGUUGAUGGUGACACGGAUACUCUGGUGGUCCCGCACGUAGGGUAGUAGAAGAAGGUAUCGUCUAACCCAAUCAGAAGAAGACACAUAUCUUGAUGAAGAAAGAUUGAAAGAUAUUGAAAAAUAUUUUGGUUACAUUAUUUUGUGUCUGGUUAAGGUGACGUUGGCUUGGACAUGACAGCGACAGGGAUGUGAGUGGUCUGGUCCCCUGUCUGUCCCAUUUACUAAUUACCUACAAAACAAUUAUGUUGACGUGAAAAACAACGU